UACGGAGGUGGCAAGCGUUGUCCGGAAUUAUUGGGCGUAAAGGGCGCGCAGGCGGCCUCGUAAGUCAGAUGUGAAAGCCCCCGGCUCAACCGGGGAGGGCCAUUUGAAACUGGAAGGCUUGAGUAUAGGAGAGGAGAGUGGAAUUCCACGUGUAGCGGUGAAAUGCGUAGAGAUGUGGAGGAACACCAGUUGCGAAGGCGACUCUUUGGCCUAUAACUGACGCUGAGGCGCGAAAGCGUGGGGAGCAAACAGG
rnacentral:misc_RNA from 1 species